UCCGGUGACUAUACUCGGCAGGAAACACGCGUUCCCAUUCCGAACACGACCGUUAAGCUGCCGGGGCCGAUGAUAGUGCCCACCAGUGCGAAAGUAGGUUAUCGCCGGGA
rnacentral:rRNA from 1 species